rnacentral:lncRNA from 1 species
GUAGCGACAACUAAUAAAUUCUAAUUUAAAAUCAGUGUCGCAAGAGAAGGUUCUUCUAAGAGCGGGCCAUUUCUCAGUGUGUUACUCGUGCAGCUCAUUCGUUUCACCGUCCCGAACCGGCGUAGCCGUCGUUCCUGACACCGUGAUAAACAGCCGCCUCUGUCGUAAGUCAAGUCGGUAUAAAAUCUCGGACAUUACUCGUUCUAGAGAGAGAGUUUACUAAGUUGGAACAACUUGACAGGGCGGAUAUAGUUAGCGUUAGAUCUUAAGCAGCAGCACCACCAAUACCAGCACCACCACCACCACCGUCCGUCUCCUUUCAUUCGUUAUUCUUCAAAUUCCACGUCAAUGGUAUUCGACUUUUGUUAGAGUAAUAAAAUCGUGCUCCUGCUUAUUUUUCCUCCCUUCUUUUAAAAAAAAAAAACGUUUAGGGAGUCAAGCUACGUCUCGUAAACCAUCCAAUUCUAAUGAAGUAGACGAUAAUGUAAAUUACUCGGAACGAAACUACCCAAAGGAGUCUUCUUUUUCUCUUUCUCUUUACUCGAUCUCACUGGAGAAGAGGAGAAAAUUAAAAUCCGUAUUUCUAUCGAACGCGAAGAGACUUAAGAAUUGAUUAAAUUACACUUGGUAAUACAGCUGCUACCGUGAUUCGAAAUUUGUCCGUUUACCGACACGUAAUCCGUUCCAAGAGAUCGAUAAGAGAGUGAGUUACACGAGUUGCUUGUAAAUGAGUUGAGAUAUCGAUCAGGAUCUUAAAGAAGUAUAUAUAAGACUCAUCCAAGUGACGGUAGGAAGAGAGAUAACGUACUUAGAAAAGGAAAUAUACUGUUUUCGCACGCGAAGAAAAUACAUAUAACACCAUCCUACGUCUGAAGAUGAGAACAAAAACGCGUUUGUUUAGCAACGAUAUUAUUCGUUCAAUUUGGAAAAAAUAUGUACAACAAAGUUUACUCUUAGGUGCAGGACACAUAACGUCGGCUAUGGCAGCAGUCAUAAAAUCUUUAAAAUGCAAAGCUACAAUGAAAUUGUGGGCACAAAUGUAACCCUCUGGUAAGGUUAAUCUGGCGAGAGCAUCGCGACGCCUGGCUAAUGGCACGUCCGACGGUUGCGUGCCAGCAUUUUCAGCCAAGCAGUCGUCGAGCAUCCGUCCUGUUCAGAAGAGGGAAGGAGGCUCAGCCAGCCGGCUGAGUGAUGAACCAUAAAGGGAAAUUAAUGUUCUGGAUGGUAAUGGUAAAUGGGGUGGAAAGAAGACAAGAAAUCGUAAGAUAAACGACAUCGGGAUGUGCCGAAGGCUGGCAUCUUUUAUCGACGAAAAAGAAACGAAAAGAACAAAAAAGGAUUUAAGAAGAGAGAAUAUAAGGACUAAAAAAGAAUUGAUCGUAUCCAUCAAAAGACGAAGAAGUGGCAAGCGAGGAAAGGGACAAAUCAGAGAAAGAGAGAGAGAGAGGAGGCCAUCCUGAAUUGGAUGAAAGAGUUUCUUUAAUCGGCAACACGUACACGGAUCAGUACACGCGUCAGUACGCGACGACGUAGUUAACGGCUUCCAGGAAUGGUUUCUCGCUCGAUCUCGACACGCUCUUGGCGACCAUAUCGAGGUUCCAUCUGUGGCUACCGUGCCACGCCGACAGACGUUUCACCGAUCGCCGAUCUCAGCGGAUUAUUAUGCUUGUCCCUGCUGACUAUGAUCACCGCAGACACGUUGGUAUGCUUGGCUCAUUAGCCGUUCGGUUCCCCGCCAUCAAAGCGAUGAAUAAUGGCUUUCCUUCCUUCAUCCUGCUUUUCUUUUACUCACCCUCCUGAUUCUUUCAACCUAUGAUGACCAUUUAUUAAUUUCUCGUAUCGAAAAAUCCUAAAUCUGGGCAACUUCGAAAUUUCAUUUUUCUGACAAACAAGUUUCCAACUUAUAUAGUGUUAAGUAUAUGACAAUAAUUUUAGAAACAUAAUAUAUAUGAUACGUGGUUAAAUUUUGUCAAUGACACGAUUAGUAAUAUUAAAAUAUUAAAAUAUUAAAAAUUAAUACGAAAUAAAAAUAAUGGACAAUUCCAGAAAAGGAAAGUUAACCAAUGACUAUAAUAAACCAACACAACAGAAAUAAAUUUUUUAUGAGAUAUGGGAAUAUAAAAGAAAAAUGAAUGAAAAAUAUAUAAUAUAAAUCUUGUAUUUUUUUUCUGUUUUCUUUAAGAAUAAGCGAGAGAAUAAUCAUCAAAUAAAAAUCACAAUAUUAUGGGCGAUAGGUUUGCUAAUCGAGAUGAAAAUUAAUCAAAGUCGUUCCUAAAAAGGAUAGUUGUCGUCGUAAUAGUAAUCGCGUGAGAACGAGUUAAGCUUGGUAGAUACGUCAAAGUUUUAUAUACUCGGUUGUUAUAAGGGCUCAGUGGAGUCCUGUUUGGGUGAUGAGCAUCGAUCUUCGAUCGUUGGUACACGGGCUUUAAGAGCGAGGACGUUGCUUCAAAAAGGUUUGAAAUAUGCGCCUUUCGAAUGAAAGAGAGAAAGAGAUAGAGAGAAAGAAGAAUAUAUAUACGUUGGCUCGUAAUUUAUAACGGUCGUUUUCGCAACAAGAGCACGUCGAAAUGACCACCCGGUGGCAGGCUAAAGGAUGUUCGGUCAUAACAUCUGACGAAGCGAAACAUUAGCAGGAGGAUAUAUCAGCCUGGGCUCUCUUAUAGACGAAGCGUGGGCAGUAUCUUGAAUAUCACCCAGAAGAACGAGCACGAAAUGAUAUGUGAAAGAAGUCGUUCCUCCGCUUCGUCACUUCCAUUCUCCCUUUCAUUCUUCUAUACGAAGAACGAGGAGUGAUCCUUUAGAAAUGUCUUUUUUAUCGAGAUAUGCAUAUGGUAUUAAUAAAAAAAUAAAUACACUUUUACCGAUAGUACGAUUU